UCUGAAGGGAAAUAAAUUGAAAUGAUAUUAUUGUGUAUGUAAUACUGGUUUAGAUUUCUAAUUAAUACGGUAGUUGCUGCCACCAGAAAUAGUCUAAGGACUAUUUCAAAAUAUUUUAUUUUUUAUUAUUUUUCCAUUUAGUGGGUACGUUAACUGAUGCUUAAUACAACUGGUAAACGAAUUUCACUUUUCGGCUAACCUGCUAUGUGCAGGAAUACUGGCAUGGGAGAGGAUUAAAGCUGGGAUUAAUAAUUAUUUGUCCUCGUUGAACGGAUUUUAUUUGAAUGUAGAAUCGCUUAGAUUAUUACCUUUAUAUAUAUUUUAUUAGCCGGAUAUAUAUAUAUUUUAGCGUUGCUGGAUCGGAUAGGAAUGUGAGAUUUUCCGUUGUUUAUAUAUAAAUUUAUUUUUACGUUCGACUUCUUCUUCUCUUUUAAUUUCACUGUAAUAGUUUGCCGUUGGAACAGAAACUCAAUUCAUUUACUACGAUGGAUUCUGUUACCACGAUUUUCUUGCCUUUUGAGUUUAAUAAUCGAGGAUGAUUCUAACGAUCCUCUCUGUGUGGGACUCGUGUGAUUUCGCAAGCCUUGCCCAAAGACGGGUAGUAUUUUACCAACAGUGGGAUGAGGAAUGCGAAGAUCGACGGGUGUUUUUGAUAAUCGAAAACACCGUUUGCACAAGCCAACACAGCGAACGAUCCCUUGUUUAAAGUUUAAACGAUGAUUCUAUCUUCGAAACCGUUCACGAAAAUAAAACGAGAUCGAUGAUAGGAAGUUCUAAUUCGAUUCUCGAGGGCAACGAAAUUAUCAGAGAAGAAGGAAAUUCUCAAAAUUAAUUUUCUUACCUUGAGGAGUAGGCGCUGUCUGGCGCCAUUUACCUCAGCUGCUCCGUUGGUCGUCGAAGUUUUUGCUGGGUUUAUUACUUGAACUCGAAUAUAGUUUACUAUUAACGUUUACUUUAUUUAUCUAUUUCGAUACGGACAGAACAAUUUACUGACUAGAUUAAUACCGCAAUUACAAUGCGCGUUCAAGGAUAAAAUUUUCUUUUUCCUUGGUCGCGGCUCUCUUUUCUUGACCGAAAAACUAAAGACCCCGAAGCGCAAAAUACUAUACAAAAUUUCUAAAGGUGAGCGCAAUAACGAACGUAGUAACGAAAUAAUUAACAAAGAGUGAACAAAAUAAUUUUAAACCGUAAUAACGAAGAUCGCAAUAAUAAUGAACAAAGAAUAAUGUAAUAAGAAUAUUCACCAGGAUGAUAAUGAUAAUCGAUAAUUGGUGAGUAUAAUAACGAUAAUGUUAGUGAGUGAGCAACGUAAUAAGAAUGUUCACCGGAAUAAUAAUGUUAAUCGCUAAAUGAUGAUUAUCGUUGUAGUCCGUGCUCUACGUUGCUUUGCUUAUUUAUAAUGCCACCCCCCACGGAGUGGUGUUCCGCUGGGGGUACGCUUAUGAUUGUUUUUGCGAUUUUGAUGUUUUCCCUUUCUUGUUGUUUCCCUAGGUUUCGGUGAUCGACGUUCGAACAAUGUUUGCGGAGGCAUUUCCAUCAGAGGUUCCUUAUCAUUAUUAUUUUUUUCCUUUUAAACGUCUUUUGUUUUUAUGUAUGAUAUAUAUAUAUAUAUAUUUUUAAAUGUGAUAUCUAUUUUAUGUUUGUUAAAUAUAUGUAUUUUAAUUUUAUAUUUCCCCCCUUUUAAUUGAUUAUAUAUAUAUAUAUAUAUAUAUAUAUAUAUAUAUAUAUAUAUAUAUAUAUAUAUAUAUAUAUACAUAUUAUAUAUAUAUAUACAUAUUAUAUAUAUAUAUACAUAUUUUUUUCACAUUUGUAGUGGCGCACAGAUUUUAUUAAAGAAAAGUGUUAACAAUGUGUUUUCAUAAUUUAUUUCUCGCGCCUGACUUCCAUUAAUCCUUAAUAUUCCUGUCGCCAUGACGCGUUUAAAUCUAACAUGGCUGCUCAUAAAUGUCAUCAGCAAAGUUAUAGUGACGGGUCUGUAAUUUUGUUUGAUAUCGAAGUAAUUUUCCGUCUGCCGCUCGUUAGCCUUAUUCUACCGCAAUUAAACAUUUACUUAUUAAUAUUGCUUUAAAGUGACAAGUAUUGUUCGUGUGAAUAUACGCAUAUAUAUAUUUAUGUUGUGUGUCAUUUUAAUAUGGCUAAUGUUUCGUAAUUCUUCGAUUGCGUUAUUUAUUGUUUUGAGUAGUCUAUUUUAUAGAGUAUUCGAUAAUAUAAAACAUACGCGCACACAUACACACAUAUAUAUGUACGUAUUCAUAUGCGUAUUUCUCUUGGCAGUGUAGUAUUCAUACGAAAUGAAAUGUCAAUUAUUUAUUUAUCUUUUACCGGAAUGUACGCUAGUUUUAAGUAUGUAUCUUAGAUUAUCGGUUUGAUAGAAUUGGCACACAUAUAUAUUACCUGGAUCAUUCCCACAACGUCAUCCAAUUCUUCGAUAUGCCUUGGAUACUUACUGCGGUUGCCUUCAAUCGUCUUAUAUCUGUGGCUAUAAAGCUGGUACAUGGUGUUCCGCAAGCAGGGAGCCAUAACCUAUUUUGCACGUAGACCUUCUUGUAUGAUGAUUACUUGUUUACAAGGUUUUCGCUAUCUGUAUUAUUCGACGAACAGUGUCACAUCUCCUUUUGAUUUAUCCAUAAUAUAGUUAUAACAUUUAGUCACCUUAUAUUUUGCACUGAGACAAUUGAAACUAACUUAUUCACUUAUUUUAGGUAGCUGUCAUACAUUGUGUUCCACGAACAACGAUCCAUAACUUAUACUUGCACGUACACUUUCUUGUGUGUUGAUCACUUGUUCAUAAGGGACGAUUGUUUUUCCUGUCGCUCCUCUGGUCAAUGUGUUCAAGACUGCAGUUUUUUCUGCCGGGAACAUGACGUGGUCCCGUAGUGCGUCCAGGUCCUUUUGGGUAUAUAUUCCGCUCGUGGCCAACGACGAUGGUGCUGAGUAUCGCCAAGUUUGGCGCACGUCCGGGCGGAGUUCCUGUGGUGCGAUUGUUUCCAUUGGUUUUGGUACGAAUUUGUGCCAGAGUCCGUCGAUGUUGUAUAGCGUGGGUAGUACUGCGCUACAUUCUCUAUGGUUUCCGUGUUGCGUUAGGAUGUGUGUUUUUGGUGUUAGAAAUGC